CAGCCGCCGCGGGAAUACAGAGGGUGCGAGCGUUAAUCGGAUUUACUGGGCGUAAAGCGUGCGUAGGCGGCUUUUUAAGUCGGAUGUGAAAUCCCUGAGCUUAACUUAGGAAUUGCAUUCGAUACUGGGAAGCUAGAGUAUGGGAGAGGAUGGUAGAAUUCCAGGUGUAGCGGUGAAAUGCGUAGAGAUCUGGAGGAAUACCGAUGGCGAAGGCAGCCAUCUGGCCUAAUACUGACGCUGAGGUACGAAAGCAUGGGGAGCAAACAGGAUUAGAUACCCCCGUAGUCCCUGUCUCUUAUAC
rnacentral:rRNA from 1 species